UACAGAGGUCUCAAGCGUUGUUCGGAAUCACUGGGCGUAAAGGGUGCGUAGGUGGCGUGGAAAGUCAGAUGUGAAAUCCGGGGGCUCAACCUCCGAAUUGCAUCCGAUACUCCCAUGCUAGAGAACUGGAGGGGAGUCUGGAAUUCUCGGUGUAGCAGUGAAAUGCGUAGAUAUCGAGAGGAACACUAGUGGCGAAGGCGAGACUCUGGACAGUUUCUGACACUGAUGCACGAAGGCCAGGGUAGCGAACGGG
rnacentral:rRNA from 1 species